rnacentral:rRNA from 1 species
AUUGAACGCUGGCGGCAGGCCUAACACAUGCAAGUCGAACGAGUGGCGGACGGGUGAGUAAUGUCUGGGAAACUGCCCGAUGGAGGGGGAUAACUACUGGAAACGGUCGCUAAUCCCGCAUACCAUCGGGUGUGCCCAUAUGGGAUUAGCUAGUAGGUGGGGUAACGGCUCACCUAGGCGACGAUCCCUAGCUGGUCUGAGAGGAUGACCAGCAAAACUGGGACUGAGACACGGCCCAGACUCCUACGGGAGGCAGCAGUGGGGAAUAUUGCACAAUGGGCGAAAGCCUGAUGCAGCCAUGCCGCGUGUAUGAAGAAGGCCUUAGGGUUGUAAAGUACUUUCAGCGAGGAGGCGUUACUCGCAGAAGAAGCACCGGCUAACUCCGUGCCAGCAGCCGCGGUAAUUC